ensembl:snRNA U6 U6 spliceosomal RNA
UGUGCUCACUUCAGCAGCAUAUUUUGUGCACAGCAGCACAAAAUUGGAAUGAUGCAGAGAAGAUUAGCAUGGCCCCUGCACAAGGAUGACAUACAAAUUAGUGAAGCAUUCUAUAUUAAA